AGGGAAGUUGCUUGAAAACUUGGAACUGAAUAUCCCAAACCAUCUCACUUCCCAAGGGCUCUGAAGAAAACAGAGUAAUAGAAAGAAUAACUCAGGUCAAAUAUGCAUUUUGACUUUAUCCUGGGAUAUGUUGUGAGAUGUUGGCCUAUGCCUAGUCUCUUUUUGUCAGAACAACUCAAGACUUCCGGGUAAUCAUGGCUGCAAUCUAGACGCCGCACGCUUUCUCUCCCCAGCACCGAACGAAAUAGACUACAUCAAAGGAGCAUAAAAUCACCUUUGGAGGAACAGAAGGACUCCCCAGUACCCCACAGAGGCAAAGCUCCAAAGCAAGACCAAAACACUCUGUUUCUAGAGAGGACAAACUAUUGGUGUGGCCAAGGCAGAGGUGUAUUUAAAGCAAUUUACAAGUGCCUGAAUGAGGGAAUAUAAAAACAAAACAAGACAAAGAAUAACAGCAACAAACAAUGAAAAAAAGCCUUUGCCCACCAGGACCAUGAAUUUUAUUUUGUAAGACAACAUGUACAGAAUUAAGUAAAUGUGAGUGCAUGUGUUUGUUCACAGAGAAGUAUGGAUUCUGGGAUCUUUGGGCAUCCUGGUAACAUUUUUUAUUUAUAUCUACUAAAUUUCUAUGAAAAAUAAUAAAACCUAUAUUAAUAUACUUUACA
rnacentral:lncRNA from 1 species